UAGGCGGUCAACACCACGCCGCCCGAGUCCUCCACUUCCAUCGUCAGCCGUGCAUGUCCCCGCUCCGGCCCGAGAACAAAGGCGGGGACCAGCAUGGACCAGCGCACCGGGGCCCGGUCACCAGAGGGGUGGUGUGGCCGGUCCAGCUCCUAGGUAGGGGCUGGCUCCCGCAGCUGUCAGGGGCGCCCCGGGAAGCCGGCCCCGCCCGCGGGGCAGCCCUAUUAGCAGGGACUUAAAGACACGCCCACGAGCCCCGCUGGGGGUGGGGGCGGGGAAAAUGCUGGAGGCGGGGAGGGCGGGGGGCGGCUGUUAGGGCCGGGGCUGGGGGUGGGUGGAAUCCCUGUUUCUAGGAAACUGGAAACCCGCUGUGAUCCUUCGGGGCUUGGGCUAGCAGCUCUAGCAGUUCUUGCUUUGUUUCUUUUUCUUUUCCUUUUCUCAUCUCCCCCCUCCUCCCCCCCUCCCCCGCCCCCCCAAACGGGACGCUUAUCCCAUAGCUAGGAACAUUUCCUGCCUGGCAGCAAGAAGUGAGAGAAAGAAACCUUGCCUUGGGAGCCUGGGCAGAGAAGGAGAGGGGCCCGGUCUACAACGUGUGGUCUCCGGAAGAAAGGGAGUAAAUGUGACACUCUCUCAUUUAAAGCAUUCACAUCAAAAAUUGAAGAACCGGAUUACGUUGCUGUGUACUUGCUCAAGUUACAAUAAACUUGAUUUCCUUUUGGGCAGGUAACUCCCUCUUACAGCAAGCAGAAAACCUCCCUCCCUCACCCUCAAUACCACUGCAACCAGACUCUUACCUCACCCCACAUCCCUUUCCUCCCAAUCCUGAUCA
rnacentral:lncRNA from 1 species